rnacentral:rRNA from 1 species
GGCUUAACACAUGCAAGUCGAGGGGCAGCAUGGUCUUAGCUUGCUAAGAUUGAUGGCGACCGGCGCACGGGUGAGUAACGCGUAUCCAACCUUCCCUAUAGUAGGGGAUAGCCCGUAGAAAUGCGGAUUAAUACCCUAUGUUGUAUUUCGAUGACAUCUGACGAAUACCAAAGGUUCACCGCUAUAGGAUGGGGAUGCGUCUGAUUAGGUAGUCGGCGGGGUAACGGCCCACCGAGCCAACGAUCAGUAGGGGUUCUGAGAGGAAGGUCCCCCACAUUGGAACUGAGACACGGUCCAAACUCCUACGGGAGGCAGCAGUGAGGAAUAUUGGUCAAUGGGCGAGAGCCUGGACCAGCCAAGUAGCGUGCAGGAUGACGGCCCUAUGGGUUGUAAACUGCUUUUAUGCGGGGAUAAAGUGGGGGACGUGUCCCUUAUUGUAGGUACCGCAUGAAUAAGGACCGGCUAAUUCCGUGCCAGCAGCCGCGGUAAUACGGAAGGUCCGGGCGUUAUCCGGAUUUAUUGGGUUUAAAGGGAGCGCAGGCCGAUGGUUAAGCGUGACGUGAAAUGUAGCCGCUCAACGGCUGAACUGCGUCGCGAACUGGCUGUCUUGAGUGAGUUCGAUGUGGGCGGAAUUCGUGGUGUAGCGGUGAAAUGCUUAGAUAUCACGAAGAACUCCGAUUGCGAAGGCAGCCCACAAGGCCUUUACUGACGCUAAAGCUCGAAGGUGCGGGUAUCGAACAGGAUUAGAUACCCUGGUAGUCCGCACGGUAAACGAUGGAUGCCCGCUGUUUGCGAUAUACUGUGAGCGGCCAAGAGAAAUCGUUAAGCAUCCCACCUGGGGGAGUACGCCGGCAACGGUGAAACUCAAGGAAUUGACGGGGGCCCGCACAGCGGAGGACCAUGUGGUUUAUUCGAUGAUACGCGGAGAACCUUACCGGGCUGACUGCAGAAACGAUACAGAGAUGUUGAGGCCCUUCAGGGCUCUUGGUGGAGUGCUGCAUGGUUGUCGU